rnacentral:rRNA from 1 species
UACGUAGGAUGCAAGCGUUGUCCGGAUUUAUUGGGCGUAAAGAGAACGUAGGUGGUUUCUUAAGUUUGGUCUUAAAGACCGGGGCUCAACCCCGGGAAUGGAUCGAAUACUGGGAGACUAGAGGAUGUUAGAGGAAAGUGGAAUUCCAAGUGUAGCGGUGAAAUGCGUAGAUAUUUGGAGGAACACCAGUGGCGAAAAGCGGCUUUCUGGGACAUUCCUGACACUGAGGUUCGAAAGCUCGGGGAGCAAACAGGG